UACGAAGGUCCCAAGCGUUAUCCGGAUUUAUUGGGUUUAAAGGGUGCGUAGGCGGGUUAUUAAGUCAGUGGUGAAAGCUCCCAGCUCAACUGGGAAACUGCCAUUGAUACUGAUAGUCUUGAGUAUGAUUGAAGUGGGCGGAAUGUGUCAUGUAGCGGUGAAAUGCUUAGAUAUGACACAGAACACCGAUUGCGAAGGCAGCUCACUACACGAUCAUUGACACUGAGGCACGAAAGCGUGGGGAGCAAACAGG
rnacentral:rRNA from 1 species